rnacentral:rRNA from 1 species
UACGAAGGGGGCGAGCGUUGUUCGGAAUUACUGGGCGUAAAGCGUGCAUAGGUGGUGAGUUAAGUCUGUCGUGAAAGCCCCGGGCUCAACCUGGGAAUGGCGAUGGAUACUGGCUCGCUAGAGUGCGGUAGAGGAGAGUGGAAUUCCCGGUGUAGCAGUGAAAUGCGUAGAGAUCGGGAGGAACAUCAGUUGCGAAGGCGGCUCUCUGGACCAGCACUGACACUGAGGCACGAAAGCGUGGGGAGCAAACAGG